rnacentral:rRNA from 1 species
AGUGAACGCUGGCGGUAGGCCUAACACAUGCAAGUCGAACGGCAGCACAGUAAGAGCUUGCUCUUACGGGUGGCGAGUGGCGGACGGGUGAGGAAUACAUCGGAAUCUACUUUUUCGUGGGGGAUAACGUAGGGAAACUUACGCUAAUACCGCAUACGACCUACGGGUGAAAGCAGGGGAUCUUCGGACCUUGCGCGAUUGAAUGAGCCGAUGUCGGAUUAGCUAGUUGGCGGGGUAAAGGCCCACCAAGGCGACGAUCCGUAGCUGGUCUGAGAGGAUGAUCAGCCACACUGGAACUGAGACACGUUCCAGACUCCUACGGGAGGCAGCAGUGGGGAAUAUUGGACAAUGGGCGCAAGCCUGAUCCAGCCAUACCGAGUGGGUGAAGAAGGCCUUCGGGUUGUAAAGCCCUUUUGUUGGGAAAGAAAAGCAGCAGGUUAAUACCCCGCUGUUCUGACGGUACCCAAAGAAUAAGCACCGGCUAACUUCGUG